GCCUGGGUGGCUCAGUUGGUUGAGCCUCUGACUUCAGCUGAGGUGGUGAUCUUGUGGUUGUAGGUUCGAGUCCUGCGUCAGGCU
rnacentral:tRNA from 1 species